GAUGAAGAACGCAGCGAAAUGCGAUAAGUAGUGUGAAUUGCAGAAUUCAGUGAAUCAUCGAAUCUUUGAACGCACAUUGCGCCCCUUGGUAUUCCAUGGGGCAUGCCUGUUCGAGCGUCAUUUGUACCUUCAAGCUUUGCUUGGUGUUGGGUGUUUGUCUCGCCUCCGCGUGUAGACUCGCCUCAAAACAAUUGGCAGCCGGCGUAUUGAUUUCGGAGCGCAGUACAUCUCGCGCUUUGCACUCACAACGACGACGUCCAAAAGUACAUUUUUGCACUCUUGACCUCGGAUCAGGUAGGGAUACCCGCUGAACUUAAGCAUAUCAAUAAGCGGAGGA
rnacentral:misc_RNA from 1 species